rfam:Eurypyga helias contig26377, whole genome shotgun sequence.
UAAAAGGCUUUUUUCACAAGCCAUCCAGAUACAUUAGGAAGAUAAAU